GUUAUAAACAAAUCUCAAGAUCGGAGACUGUUAGGACUGAUGCUCACCGAAGUCAAAGAAAGACCUCACUCUAGGGAGAAGAUCCUUAUACUACAGUUUAUUUUCUCAAGACUCCUUUUGGAUUACAGAGAUCAUGUUCUUCCUGUAGACUCCUAUGGAAGAAUUUAAAAUGAGUGUAAGAUUGUGUUGCUCAUAUACACGUGCAUGGAUGUGACUGAAAAGCCCAAGGCGGGACCUACCUGCAUCUCCCCAGGCUGUUCUCACGGGGCCUCUGCCGUAGAGCCGAUCCUUGAGGCUUGGAUCUGCACCUGGGGUGGCAUGGAUUUCAAAGUCAUUAUUUAAGGUGUACUGUCUGUAGGGUGGAGGUGGACCAAAGACCUGCUUCACCGGAUACUGGCUUCAAAUCACCUUUCAUAUUUUCUUGUUGGGAAGACAACUGUUGGAGAGUCUUCUUGUUAUCAUCAGCAAAAAAUGGAAACAGAUCAAGACAUUAAAAAUGCCACCGUGGCCAGCAGUUAAUGAUGCCCGAGUAAUGCAAGCUUUGGCAAAGGAAUUUUUCAAGACGUGUGCUUCACCAGCCAGGAAUCAGGAAAGACUGAACUAUCCUUUUUGUCUCAGCUGUUUCUUAAAUCAAUGCAACCCCUCCAAAUUAAAGUGAAUUGAAACAGUCA
rnacentral:lncRNA from 1 species